AACGAACGCUGGCGGCAUGCCUAACACAUGCAAGUCGAACGAGAUCUUCGGGUCUAGUGGCGCACGGGUGCGUAACGCGUGGGAAUCUGCCCUUUGGUUCGGAAUAACAGUUGGAAACGACUGCUAAUACCGGAUGAUGACGAAAGUCCAAAGAUUUAUCGCCAGAGGAUGAGCCCGCGUCGGAUUAGCUAGUUGGUGUGGUAAAGGCGCACCAAGGCGACGACCCUUCGCUGGUCGGAGGGGAUGAUCAGCCACACUGGGACUGAGACUCGGCACAGACUGCUACGGGAGGCUGCAGUGGGGAACAUUGGACCAUGGGCGAAAGCCUGAUCCAGCAAUGCCGCGUGAGUGAUGAAGGCCUUAGGGUUGUAAAGCUCUUUUACCCGGGAAGAUAAUGACAGUACCGGGAGAAUAAGCUCCGGCUAACUCCGUGCCAGCAGCCGCCGUAA
rnacentral:rRNA from 1 species